UACGUAGGCAGCAAGCGUUGUUCGGAGUUACUGGGCGUAAAGAGUGCGUAGGUGGUGCCCUAAGUCUGUUGUGAAAUCUCCCGGCUUAACUGGGAGGGUGCGGUGGAAACUGGGGUGCUUGAGUACGGAAGAGGCGAGUGGAAUUCCUGGUGUAGCGGUGAAAUGCGCAGAUAUCAGGAGGAACACCGAUGGCGAAGGCAGCUCGCUGGGACGGUACUGACGCUGAGGCGCGAAAGCGUGGGGAGCAAACAGG
rnacentral:rRNA from 1 species